AUUGAACGCUGGCGGCAGGCCUAACACAUGCAAGUCGAACGAGUGGCGGACGGGUGAGUAAUGUCUGGGAAACUGCCUGAUGGAGGGGGCUAACUACUGGAAACGGUAGCUAAUACCGCAUAUCCUCAGCUGUGCACAGAUGGGAUGUGCUUGUGGGUGGGGUAACGGCUCACCAAGGCGACCAUCCCGAGCGGGUCUGAGAGGAUGACCGGCCACACUGGAACUGAGACACGGUCCAGACUCUGACGGGAGGCAGCAGUGGGGAAUAUUGCACAAUGGGCGAAAGCCUGAUGCAGCCAUGCCGCGUGUAGGAAGAAGGCCUUCGGGUUGUAAAGUACUUUCAGCGGGGAGGCGUUACCCGAAGAGGAAGCACCGGCUAACUCCGUGCCAGCAGCCGCGGUAAUAC
rnacentral:rRNA from 1 species